GUGGGGAAUUUUGGACAAUGGGCGCAAGCCUGAUCCAGCCAUGCCGCGUGAGUGAAGAAGGCCUUCGGGUUGUAAAGCUCUUUCGGCGGGGAAGAAAUCGCAUUCUUUAAUACGGGAUGUGGAUGACGGUACCCGAAUAAGAAGCACCGGCUAACUACGUGCCAGCAGCCGCGGUAAUACGUAGGGUGCGAGCGUUAAUCGGAAUUACUGGGCGUAAAGCGUGCGCAGGCGGUUUCGUAAGACAGACGUGAAAUCCCCGGGCUCAACCUGGGAACUGCGUUUGUGACUGCGAGGCUAGAGUGUGGCAGAGGGGGGUAGAAUUCCACGUGUAGCAGUGAAAUGCGUAGAGAUGUGGAGGAAUACCGAUGGCGAAGGCAGCCCCCUGGGCCAAUACUGACGCUCAUGCACGAAAGCGUGGGGAGCAAACAGGAUUAGAUACCCUAGUAGUCC
rnacentral:rRNA from 1 species